GAUUUAACCCAGCCGCAGGAGAGCUCCUAUGGGGGCACGUCCAGAAAAGCCCCAAAGGGGGAUUGGAGGAAAGCACGUGGAUCUACACUCUUUCCAGCACCGGCAAAGGUCAGGCAAUAAUCGAAUCACUCUUCCUCGGCUUUCAUUUCAUCAACUGCACUGAUGAGGAUGGGGGAGGGGGCAUGAAGGAAGGGAGCGGUAGGAAGUGGUCCAUCCCUCCUCCUAAGGAGGGGGAGCAGGCUGGACAAGGACAUUCCAUUCUAUUUGCUACUCUCACAGAAGCCUUGGGAAAGAACAAAGAAAGAAUGAAAAGGAGACAGAUAUGCUGGGCACGCGCAUUCACAAAUACACGUGCUCACGCUCACACACACCCCCAUUUGCAAUAGGGAGUCAAUAAGAGCAGAAAUAAUUUAUGCUGAGGCUUCAAACAGCAACCUAGAAGUGUAAAGUGGGGAGGGGAAAAAUCCAUCGCAUUUCUAAAUGUUUGGCUGCCCUCUAAGACCUCAAGUUGUACCUAUGCCUGAAACAGGUAGAAACACAGUAUCACCUGAAAGUGUCAAAUGGGGAAACCGAGGCUCAGAAAAACCAAGUGGAUCCUCUCAAAAACACAGAACAAAUAUUCAGGGAAGUGGCGACUAAAUCUCAAGUCUGUGUCACGAGCUGGUGUUCCUGAGACC
rnacentral:lncRNA from 1 species